ensembl:snRNA U4 U4 spliceosomal RNA
AGCUUUGCUCAGUGGUGGCAUCAUAGCAGCCAAUAAAGUUUAUCUGAGCGCCAUUAUUGCUAAUUGAAAACUUUGCUCAGUACCCCACCAUGAAGACUUGCCAUAGAGUUAGUAUUGGCAAUUUUUGACAAUUUCUACAGAGA